rnacentral:rRNA from 1 species
AGUGAACGCUGGCGGUAGGCCUAACACAUGCAAGUCGAACGGCAGCACAGUAAGAGCUUGCUCUUACGGGUGGCGAGUGGCGGACGGGUGAGGAAUACAUCGGAAUCUACUUUUUCGUGGGGGAUAACGUAGGGAAACUUACGCUAAUACCGCAUACGACCUACGGGUGAAAGCAGGGGAUCUUCGGACCUUGCGCGAUUGAAUGAGCCGAUGUCGGAUUAGCUAGUUGGCGGGGUAAAGGCCCACCAAGGCGACGAUCCGUAGCUGGUCUGAGAGGAUGAAGAGCAAAAGGGAAAAUGAGACGGGGUCGAGACCAAUACGGGAGGCAGCAGGGGGGAAUAGUGAACAAGGGGCGCGAGUGAGAUAGAGCUAUAGCGCGGGGGUGAAGGAGGCAUGGGGGUUGUAAAGCCCUUGUGGGGGAAAAAAAAAAGAAGAGGUAAAUACCCCGGUGUUCUGAGGGUACCAAAAAAAUAAGCACCGGCUAACUUCG